GAUGAAGAACGUAGCGAAAUGCGAUAAGUAGUGUGAAUUGCAGAAUUCAGUGAAUCACCGAAUCUUUGAACGCACAUUGCGCCCCUUGGUAUUCCAUGGGGCAUGCCUGUUCGAGCGUCAUUUGUACCUUCAAGCUCUGCUUGGUGUUGGGUGUUUGUCUCGCCUCUGCGUGUAGACUCGCCUCAAAACAAUUGGCAGCCGGCGUAUUGAUUUCGGAGCGCAGUACAUCUCGCGCUUUGCACUCAUAACGACGACGUCCAAAAGUACAUUUUUACACUCUUGACCUCGGAUCAGGUAGGGAUACCCGCUGAACUUAAGCAUAUCAUAAGCGGAGGA
rnacentral:misc_RNA from 1 species